rnacentral:rRNA from 1 species
AUUGAACGCUGGCGGCAGGCCUAACACAUGCAAGUCGAACGAGUGGCGGACGGGUGAGUAAUGUCUGGGAAACUGCCUGAUGGCGGGGGAUAACUACUGGAAACGGUAGCUAAUACCGCAUACCAUCGGAUGUGCCCAGAUGGGAUUAGCUAGUAGGUGGGGUAACGGCUCACCUAGGCGACGAUCCCUAGCUGGUCUGAGAGGAUGACCAGCCACACUGGAACUGAGACACGGUCCAGACUCCUACGUGAGGCAGCAGUGGGGAAUAUUGCACAAUGGGCGCAAGCCUGAUGCAGCCAUGCCGCGUGUAUGAAGAAGGCCUUCGGGUUGUAAAGUACUUUCAGCGGAGAAGCGUUACCCGCAGAAGAAGCACCGGCUAACUCCGUGCCAGCAGCCGCGGUAAUAC